GAUGAACGCUGGCGGCGUGCCUAAUACAUGCAAGUCGAGCGAACGGACGAGAAGCUUGCUUCUCUGAUGUUAGCGGCGGACGGGUGAGUAACACGUGGAUAACCUACCUAUAAGACUGGGAUAACUUCGGGAAACCGUAGCUAAUACCGGAUAAUAUUUUGAACCGCAUGGUUCAAAAGUGAAAGACGGUCUUGCUGUCACUUAUAGAUGGAUCCGCGCUGCAUUAGCUAGUUGGUAAGGUAACGGCUUACCAAGGCAACGAUGCAUAGCCGACCUGAGAGGGUGAUCGGCCACACUGGAACUGAGACACGGUCCAGACUCCUACGGGAGGCAGCAGUAGGGAAUCUUCCGCAAUGGGCGAAAGCCUGACGGAGCAACGCCGCGUGAGUGAUGAAGGUCUUCGGAUCGUAAAACUCUGUUAUUAGGGAAGAACAUAUGUGUAAGUAACUGUGCACAUCUUGACGGUACCUGAUCAGAAAGCCACGGCUAACUGCGUG
rnacentral:rRNA from 1 species